UGCUGCCAGAUCUGAUACCGU
rnacentral:miRNA from 1 species